GGCUGUCGUCAGUUCGUGCCGUGAGGUGUUGGGUUAAGUCCCGCAACGAACGCAACCCUUGUGUUUAGUUGCCACUCCUAGUGUUAAGCUAGGAAGCACUCUAAACAGACUGCCCGUGUAAGCGGGAGGAAGGUGGGGAUGACGUCAAGUCAGUAUGGCCCUUACGCCCUGGGCUGCACACGUGCUACAAUGACGGGUACAAUAGGAAGCAAAACCGCGAGGUGGAGCAAAUCCUCAAAACCUGCCUCAGUUCGGAUUGGAGUCUGCAACUCGACUCCAUGAAGUUGGAUUCGCUAGUAACGGUGUAUCAGCUACGACACCGUGAAUACGUUCCCGGGCCUUGUACACACCGCCCGUCACAUCAUGAAAGCCGUCUGCACCCGAAGUCGCUGAACCAAUCUUUUACGAGAAGGUAGGUGCCGAAGGUGUGGGUGGUGAUUGGGAUGAAGUCGUAACAAGGUAACC
rnacentral:rRNA from 1 species